UACAGAGGGUGCGAGCGUUGUUCGGAAUUAUUGGGCGUAAAGCGCGUGUAGGCGGUCCGGUAAGUCCGCUGUGAAAGUCGGGGGCUCAACCCUCGGAUGCCGGUGGAUACUGUCGGGCUUGAGUACGGAAGAGGCGAGUGGAAUUCCUGGUGUAGCGGUGAAAUGCGCAGAUAUCAGGAGGAACACCAAUUGCGAAGGCAGCUCGCUGGGACGUUACUGACGCUGAGACGCGAAAGCGUGGGGAGCAAACAGG
rnacentral:rRNA from 1 species